GACGAACGCUGGCGGCGUGCUUAACACAUGCAAGUCGAACGGAAAGGCCCUGCUUUUGUGGGGUUCUCGAGUGGCGAACGGGUGAGUAACACGUGAGUAACCUGCCCUUGACUUUGGGAUAACUUCAGGAAACUGGGGCUAAUACCGGAUAGGAGCUCCUGCUGCAUGGUGGGGGUUGGAAAGUUUCGGCGGUUGGGGAUGGACUCGCGGCUUAUCAGCUUGUUGGUGGGGGAGUGGCUUACCAAGGCUUUGACGGGUAGCCGGCAUGAGAGGGUGACCGGGCACAUUGGGACUGAGAUACGGCCCAGACUGCUACGGGAGGCAGCAGUGGGGAAUAUUGCACAAUGGGCGGAAGCCUGAUGCAGCAACGUCGCGUGCGGGAUGACGGCCUUCGGGUUGUAAACCGCUUUCGCCUGUGACGAAGCGUGAGUGACGGUAAUGGGUAAAGAAGCACCGGCUAACUACGUG
rnacentral:rRNA from 1 species